GGUUUAAUUCGAUGAUACGCGAGGAACCUUACCCGGGCUUGAACUGCAGGAGAACGAUUCAGAGAUGAUGAGGUCCUUUCGGGACUCCUGUGGAGGUGCUGCAUGGUUGUCGUCAGCUCGUGCCGUGAGGUGUCGGCUUAAGUGCCAUAACGAGCGCAACCCCUCUCCGUAGUUGCCAUCGGGUAAUGCCGGGCACUCUGCGGACACUGCCACCGUAAGGUGUGA
rnacentral:rRNA from 1 species